UUUCCUCGGAGUGAGAGAAAACUCUUUUUAGAUACCAUCUGAGAGGUAGUUAAUUUGGCAGCAUGGGGAUACAGGGAUUGCUACAAUUUAUCAAAGAAGCUUCAGAACCCAUCCAUGUGAGGAAGUAUAAAGGGCAGGUAGUAGCUGUGGAUACAUAUUGCUGGCUUCACAAAGGAGCUAUUGCUUGUGCUGAAAAACUAGCCAAAGGUGAACCUACUGAUAGAAGACGACAAGCCAAUCUUCUUAAGGGAAAGCAGCUUCUUCGUGAGGGGAAAGUCUCAGAAGCCCGAGAGUGUUUCACCCGGUCUAUCAAUAUCACACAUGCCAUGGCCCACAGAGUAAUUAAAGUCAAGCUAGAAGGAAACGAUGGGAUGCAGGAGAGUGAAGUAUAAAGAAAUGUGUGCUCUGUGUCGUCAGGAGAAGAGAGGCGGCAUUGUAUGCAGAAGUAGAGGAGAAACCCUGAUUGGACACAAAUAGUGGUGUAGCUGCCCGGUCUCAAGGGGUAGAUUGCCUCGUGGCUCCCUAUGAAGCUGAUGCGCAGUUGGCCUAUCUUAACAAAGCGGGAAUUGUACAAGCCAUAAUUACAGAGGACUCGGAUCUCCUAGCUUUUGGCUGUAAAAAGGCUGUGACUACCUGUCAUCACUGCGUGGGAUUGGAUUAGCAAAGGCAUGCAAAGUCCUAAGACUAGCCAAUAAUCCAGAUAUAGUAAAG
rnacentral:sRNA from 1 species